GGGUCAAGGAACUCGGCAUAAUGAUCCCGUAACUUCGGAAGAAGGGAUGCCACGUCAGGUUGCCAGACUUGCUCUGGUUGCUCGACGGGGCCGCAGAGAAUCGACUCAAGCGACUGUUUAGCAAAAACACAGGUGCGUGCCAAGCCGCAUAAGGCGCCGUAUACGCACUGACUCCUGCCCGGUGCCGGAAGGUUAAGGGGAGAGGUUAGCCGCAAGGCGAAGCUUUGAUCCGAAGCCCCGGUAAACGGCGGCCGUAACGAUAACGGUCCUAAGGUAGCGAAAUUCCUUGUCGGGUAAGUUCCGACCUGCACGAAUGGAGUAACGACUUGAGUACUGUCUCGACCACGUGCUCGGCGAAAUAGCAGUCUCGGUGAGGAUUCCGAGUCCCCGCGACAGGACAAAAAGACCCCAUGCACCUUUACUGCAGCUUGUUAUUGACGAUUGCAUAAGACUGUGUAGCAUAGGUGGGAGCCGUUGAGACGGGGGCGCUAGCUCUCGUGGAGGCAUCAGUGAAAUACCACCCUGUGUUCUGUGAUCGUCUCACCGCGAUAGGCAAACCCUAUCCGGGACCGUGACAGGUGGGCAGUUUGACUGGGGCGGUCGCCUCCGAAAGAGUAACGGAGGCGCGCGAAGGUUGGCUCAGCGCGGUCGGUAAUCGCGCCUAUAGAGUGUAACGGCAGAAGCCAGCCUGACGGUGAGACCGACGGGUCGAGCCGAGACGAAAGUCGGCCGUAGUGAUCCGGUAGACCGGUGUGGAUCGGCUAUCGCGCAACGGAUAAAAGGUACACUGGGGAUAACAGGCUUAUCGCGCCCGAGAGUUCACAUCGACGGCGCGGUUUGGCACCUUGAUGUCGGCUUGUCACAUCCUGGGGCUGGAGAAGGUCCCAAGGGUUCGGCUGUUCGCCGAUUAAAGUGGCACAUGAGCUGGGUUCAGAACGUCGUGAGACAGUUCGGUCUGUAUCCGUCGUGGGCGUUGGAGGGUUGAGGGGUGCGAACUCUAGUACGAGAGGACCGAGUUGGACGAUCCGCUCGUGUCCCGGCUGUGGCGCCAGCUGCAACGCCGGGUAGCGAUGAUCGGUGGCGAUAACCGCUGAAAGCAUCUAAGUGGGAAGCGUCCCCCAAGAUGAACCCUCCCUGGGAACUUGAUUCCCCUAAAGGGCCGGAGGAGACUACUCCGUCGAUAGGCGACAGGUGGAAGUAGCGCAAGCUAUUACGAGCUCAGUCGUCCUAAUCGCCCGUGCGGCUUGACUGA
rnacentral:rRNA from 1 species